GUACACAUAGCAAGUCGAACGGGAAGGUGGUAGGUUUCCUAGUGGCGAACGGGUGGACGGUAACGCCGUAAGAACCUAGCCCUUCGGGAGGGGAACGAACAACUGGAAACGGUUGGCUAAUACCCCGUACGGCGUGAGGAGCAAAAGGAAGAAAUACCGCCCAACGGAGGGGCGUCGCGUCUGAUUAGCUAGUUGGUGAGGCAAUAGACUUACCAAGGCGAUGAUCAGUAGCUGGUCCGACGAGGAUGAUCAGCCACACUGGGACUGAGACACGGCCCAGACUCCUACGGGAGGCAGCAGUGGGGAAUUUUCCGCAAUGGGCGAAAGCCUGACGGAGCAAUGCCGCGUGGAGGUGGAAGGCCUGCGGGUCGUCAACUUCUUUUCUCGGAGAAGAAACAAUGACGGUAUCUGAGGAAUAAGCAUCGGCUAACUCUGUG
rnacentral:rRNA from 1 species